rnacentral:rRNA from 2 species
GAAGUCUAACAUGUGCGCGAGUCAUUGGGUUAAUAAACCUAAAGGCGGAAUGAAAGUGAAGGGAGCUUUGCUUUCCGAGGGAGGAUGGGCAUGCUGCUCACGAAGCGGUGCCCCGCACUCCCGGGGCGUCUAUCGCUCACAGCGAGCGGAGGCGCACCCAGAGCGUACACGUUAGGACCCGAAAGAUGGUGAACUAUGCCUGGUCAGGACGAAGCCAGGGGAAACCCUGGUGGAGGUCCGUAGCGAUUCUGACGUGCAAAUCGAUCGUCAGAGCUGGGUAUAGGGGCGAAAGACUAAUCGAACCAUCUAGUAGCUGGUUCCCUCUGAAGUUUCCCUCAGGAUAGCUGGUGCCCAUGUGAGACGAGUCUCAUCCGGUAAAGCGAAUGAUUAGAGGCAUUGGGGCCGAAACGACCUCAACCUAUUCUCAAACUUUAAAUAGAUGAGAACCCCGGCUUGCUUGAACAGUGAAGCCGGAGAAUCGGAUCAGGGUGCCCAGUGGGCCAAUUUUG